CAAAGAGUUCAGCCUGAGACCGAGAAAUUGCUUCAUAAGAAAACCAUCUGUGUUGAGAGAGAUGGACUAAGGUAUCCUGUCGCAUACACCGGGGUCUGCUCAGCUGGAUCCCUGCCAUACUGUCUGGGGGAAUAUGGUUAUUCUGGACAAGAGGAACAAUGGAAGCAGAAUGGCUGAUAUAUGUGUGCACACAGUUUUCCCCUCUUCAUCUCUCUGGAUGACUGCAGUGGGGUGAAGAGUCUGUGUUUUACCAUCAAAGGUCAGCCCUCCAGGAUGUCUGGAAGCUGCAGCGUGGCCCCUGCAUGCCAGUCUACUGAAGGAUACAUUUAGGGCUAGGUCUGGAGAAGGGUGAUGUGGUAGGUGUGGAGGUGCUCCAGCACUCUUAGACUCUGGAGGGUAAACAGAGUCCUUGCAUGUACAGUCAGAAGGAAUUUGUACAGAGCACUAGUCUGCUUCCUGAAAGCCAUCAAUAAGCUGAGUAGG